CGAUUAGAAAAGAAUAAUACGGGCCCUGCACCUGCCUUGCUUGCUAGGUUAAUUCAGCUCUUCUCCUCUCCCCACCCUUGGCAGUGUGUUUGGGAGGGAGGGGUGCCAGAGAAAGUCGCCCUUACUGUUGGGGUGAUCGCGUCCCCUUUUCAAAAUUCACAUCCUCUUCGGAGGGGCCCUUGUUUGGCAAGCGGGGUCCCCGCCGGGCUUAUCGCGCUUCACACCCGACCUGGAGGCUGGGCUUUGGGUCUGAAAAGGCGGCUGGCGAAGAGCAGAAGGCGCCAGAGCGGAGCGGGGGCGGGGUGGGCGGAGGGCCGGGCGGAGUCCGGGAACCUCCGCGCUUUCGGUCUACUUAAGGGAGGGCUCGGGGGAGGGGGCGCACUCGGCCGGUCGGUAGAAGGAGUCGCCGCGCGCGCCGCGGGGCCCGGAGCCCGCAGUUUCCGUAGCCCCUGUAGCCCCCGACUGGGCUGCGUCUGCGUCCCUCUCCCCCUCGGUCUUGUCGCCCCGUCCCCCACCCCAAGCCCCCCGCGCAGUAGGUGCAGCGCAGCCGCCGAGCGCCCUCCCCGGCUGCGGCGCGGUGAGCGAACGUGGCAGUCGGCGGUGGGCGUCCCGCCAUCCCGGGCCUCCGCGGGCUUGCGCGCAUUAACCCCGUGCCGCGCUGAGAAAGCGAAGGGAAGUUCACGGACACUCGAAACCCAAGGCAGGUCAGAUUCCGGUGCUCAUCAUGUCCAGUUUUGAGGAUGCGGACACAGAAGAGAUGGUAACUUGUCUCCAGAUGACUCUUUACCAUCCUGGCCACCAGCGAAGUGGAAUAUUCCGAUCAAUAAAGUUUUUUAACCGAGAGAAACUCCCCACCAGCGAAGUGGUGAAAUUUGGCCGAAAUUCUCACACCUGUAAUUAUAUCUUUCAGGACAAACAGGUUUCUCGAGUUCAGUUUUCUCUACAGGUGUUUAAAAAGUUUAAUAGUUCAGUUGUCUCUUUUGAAAUUAAAAAUAUGAGUAAGAAGACCAGUCUGCUUGUGGACAACAAGGAGCUGGGCUACCUAAAUAAAAUGGAUCUGCCAGACAAAUGCAUGAUUAGGUUUGGCGACUAUCAGUUCCUGGUGGAGAAGGAAGAUGGAGAGUCAUUAGAAUUUUUUGAGAUUCAGUUUUCUUUGUCGAAAAAACCUCUCCUGCAAGAAAACAACUGGCUUUCCCAGGAGCCCAUACCUGAGUGUGGCAGCUAUUCAUCCUGUUUGACUCAAAACAAUUCUCCCAUGGAAGUGGGUGAAAAUGAGUGGUAAAUGCUGAAAGCUAAGAGAAUUAUGAAGGACGAAGAACUCUACUCGUUUUAUAGGCAUUCCACUUACUAAGUUUCUUAGUAUAGUAUUGUACUGUCAUUUGUUAAAGCUAAGUUUGAGAUCUGGUAUUAUUGUUUGAAGUCUGCAAAUUGUGUUAGUAAUUGAUUGAGUCACCUGUCGCAUUGUUGGAUGUGUAAAGAAUUUCUCUUAAGUGUAUAUGAGAGCAUGAAUGUACAACACGUAUUCUUCAUGAUGAAGGAACAGUGUUCUCAAAAUAAGGUUAUGUUCUUUUCUUUUUAUGCCUGAUUUUUUUCCCUAUGUUUUGUAUUGUUUCAUUUUGAUUUGUAUGUUAUCAUCUCUUGGUUUGGUCAUAUUAUCUCACAGCAGCCAUUUGUUUUCAAGGUCAAGGCUACAAGCAAAUUAUGUGUGUUGUAGCCUGUUGGAUUUAUAGUACCAGAGUAUUACAACAGGGCAUGUUUUAGUGUGUGUGCCAUUGAGGUUUUAAUAUGGGAAGACUUACUUAUUAUUUGAGCAAUAAUACCUUUUCUGUGUUUUUUAUCUAGAGAAUUAGUGUUUAUUCCCAAGAAUACUGUUCUCCUUUUGUAUAUUCAGUAUGUGAAACUGAUACUUUAUAAACAUUUCAAUGAACCACUGUUUAGAAUUAUUAUUUUGUGUACCAAAUUUUAGUUUUUUAAUGUACUACAGGGUUUUUAACUCCACGAAUUCAAAAUUUUAACAACUAUGUACCUAAUAAAGUCUACUUCUCU
ensembl:lncRNA